AAAGCAUCUAAGCACGAAACUUGCCCCGAGAUGAGUUCUCCCUGAGACUUUAAGUCUCCUGAAGGAACGUUAAAGACGAUGACGUUGAUAGGCCGGGUGUGUAAGCGCAGCGAUGCGUUGAGCUAACCGGUACUAAUGAACCGUGAGGCUUAACCUUAC
rnacentral:rRNA from 1 species